CGGUGCUAAUACCGCAUGAACUUAUUGAGGUUAGAGGCUGAAUAAGGAAAGGCCAAGAGGAGGAAACGAAACUUGGUCAUCUCGGGAGGGGCCUGCGUCCCAUCAGGUAGUUGGUAGGGUAAAGGCCUACCAAGCCGAUGACGGGUAGGGGACCUGAGAGGGUGGCCCCCCACAAUGGAACUGAAACACGGUCCAUACACCUACGGGUGGCAGCAGUAGGGAAUAUUGCACAAUGGGCGAAAGCCUGAUGCAGCAACGCCGCGUGCCCGAUGAAGGCCUUCGGGUUGUAAAGGGCUUUUCUGAGAGACGAGGAAGGACGGUAUCUCAGGAAUAAGGAUCGGCUAACUACGUGCCAGCAGCCGCGGUAACACGUAGGAUUCAAGCGUUAUCCGAAUUUACUGGGCGUAAAGCGCGUGUAGGCGGUGCUGCAAGUUGGAUGUGAAAUCUUUCGGCUCAACUGGGAGAGGCCGUCCAAAACUGCAGUGCUAGAGUGCGACAGAGGGAGGUGGAAUUCCCGGUGUAGUGGUGAAAUGCGUAGAUAUCGGGAGGAACACCAGGUGCGAAAGCGGCCUCCUGGGUCGCUACUGACGCUGAGAUGCGAAAGCCAGGGGAGCGAACGGGAUUAGAUACCCCGGUAGUCCUGGCUGUAAACGAUGCAGACUAGGUGUUUGGGAGGUAAAACUCUUGAGCGCCGAAGCAAACGCGGUAAGUCUGCCGCCUGGGAAGUACGGUCGCAAGGCUAAAACUCAAAGGAAUUGGCGGGUCCCCGCACAAGCAGCGGAGCGUGUGGUUUAAUUCGAUGCUACGCGAAGAACCUUACCCGGGUUUGACAUGUAGGUGGUAGCGAAGUGAAAGCGGAGCGACCCUUCGGGGAGCCUAGACAGGUGCUGCAUGGCUGUCGUCAGCUCGUGUCGUGAGAUGUUCGGUUAAGUCCGGUAACGAGCGCAACCCUUGCCGUAUGUUACAAGUGUCAUACGGGACUGCCGAUAUAAAGUCGGAGGAAGGCGGGGAUGACGUCAAGUCAGCAUGGCCUUUAUAUCCGGGGCUACACACACGCUACAAUGGCCGGUACAAUGGGCAGCAAGGCAGCGAUGCGGAGCCAAUCCAGAAAGCCGGUCUCAGUUCGGAUUGCAGGCUGCAACUCGCCUGCAUGAAGUUGGAGUUGCUAGUAACCGCGCGUCAGCAGUAGUGCGGUGAAUACGUUCCCGGGGAUUGCACACACCGCCCGUCACGUCAUGGGAGCUGGUAACACCUGAAGUCGGUAUCCUAACCGCGAGGAGGGAGCCGCCGAGGGU
rnacentral:rRNA from 1 species